GACCCAGUAGCACGCGGUGUGCAUCUCCUCUACUUAAAAUGGUUGCUGGAGACGGCCCUGGUUCGACUCCAGGCUAAGUCA